CGGACGGGUGAGUAAUGUCUGGGAAACUGCCUGAUGGAGGGGGGUAACUACUGGAAACGGUAGCUAUACCGCAUAACGUCGCAAGACCAAAGAGGGGGACCUUCGGGCCUCUUGCCAUCGGAUGUGCCCAGAUGGGAUUAGCUAGUAGGUGGGGUAACGGCUCACCUAGGCGACGAUCCCUAGCUGGUCUGAGAGGAUGACCAGCCACACUGGAACUGAGACACGGUCCAG
rnacentral:rRNA from 1 species